CUCUCUUUCCCUAUCAGCGUGCCACGGAGGGAGGAGCUGUAGCUUACAGCUAGCUCACAGCUAGCUCACAGUUAGCUUACAGUUAGCUCACAGUUAGCUUGUAGUCACCUCACAAACACAGUUCUUCUUGAUGAAAAAAGUGCUUAGGUUGAGGCCAAAGCCACCUUUGACUGUUGAAGUGAAGCAAGACACUAAAUGGCACAAAAACCUGACCUAUGAACACGAUUUUUGGUCAGGUUUUUUUUGAGGGCAUCGGAAAUCCUGGAGCGUGGAUUUCCCCUGGGAUUUUGUGGAUUUUCCUCAUCUCGUCUUGGAACCCCUUCUGUGAAGUUGAUGGCGAGCCACCCAAAGAGACUGAACUGCCACAUCUGACUGCUCUUGAAUUUUAUUUAUUGGUUUAACGCAGAUUGUAUUGUGUUCAAUUCCUGAUUCAUUGGAUAUUGCUGUUGGGUUUAUUUAUAUACAGCGCUAAUGUGUGAAUUUACAGCUAAACUGUAUUAACAGUAAUAACUAGCGACAUAUAAGCUAAACUAACAGAACUAAAUCCAUAGAGGUAAACAUAAUCAAACUGAAAUAACUAUACCAAAUACAAAAACAGCGAACACAAGCCAUGCCAAAUUAGAGCCUAAUCCCAAAAGCAGUUAAAUUAUAUACUCCUAAUUACAUAUGAACAGGUAUUGGUUUUGAUUGAAGUCACAUGUGUUGUGCAUUUCUUUUUGCCAUUUUUUUUUAUCAAGUAAAGACAUUCAUUUUAAUUUAAA